rnacentral:tRNA from 5 species
GGCUCUAUGGUCAAGCGGUUAAGACGCCGCCCUCUCAAGGCGGAAUCCCGAGUUCGAUUCUCGGUAGAGUCA